UACAGAGGUCUCAAGCGUUGUUCGGAUUCAUUGGGCGUAAAGGGUGCGUAGGCGGCGUGGUAAGUCGGAUGUGAAAUCUCGGAGCUUAACUCCGAAACUGCAUUCGAUACUGCCGUGCUUGAGGACUGGAGAGGAGACUGGAAUUUACGGUGUAGCGGUGAAAUGCGUAGAUAUCUGGAGGAACACCGGUGGCGAAGGCGGCAUCCUGGACCAACACUGACGCUGAUGAGCGAAAGCGUGGGGAGCGAACGAG
rnacentral:rRNA from 1 species